GGAUGUAGCUCAGUGGUAGAGUACUUCCCUAUCAUGUAUGAAACCCUGGGUUCAAUCCCAGAACCA
rnacentral:tRNA from 1 species